UCCAAUUCAGAAGUGGGUGUGCAGGUGUCAGCAGAGGAGACGCUCGUCCGUGGGGCGUGGAAAUUAACAAAACUUUAAUUUUUCGAAAAUCUCUCUCACCUGCACGCACUCAUCUUCUACCUCUGAACUCACCCCUUCAUUUCUCUCCAACUUCUCUCUAAAACCUCCCAACUUCUCUCUACUAUAACUCACCAAGCUUUUCUCCGAUCACGUUUCAGCACUGUAGGAACGUUCGCUGAACCGAGAGCUACACAUUGGACCGAACAGUUUCAAGAACUGAAAUUGUUUUGUUUUAAGAAGAGUCAAGAGGCAUUGAGGGUAGAAUACCGUUAGCUGGACGAACCAAAAAUCUUGUGUUAGGACGUGUCCUCCAUUGAUCCGGAUGGAGGGGCGUCAUUUGAAGAGGUGCUAGAAGAAGAAAAUUUGGAAGACGCUAACCUGGUGGAUGUGGAAGUUAAAGCCGAGCCUUAGAGCGCUCGCAUGUUUAUUUUAUUAUUUUUGUUAAGUUUAAUUGUGGACGUUCGGUCAUAGUUUUGUAAGACCGUUCGUCUUUGAACUUCUACCUUUUUAACGUUCGGUAUUUCUGUAUGUUAUGCCGUUCGGCUUUUAACGCUCGUUCGGUUUCGUAA